GCAGCCGUCAGUUUCAAAACUUGCGUGUUUGCUAUUCUCUCUCCUUCCUACCUCUUCUGGUUUAUGUUUCCUCUUCUUAUCUUUUCCUUUUUCUUCUUUUUGCUUCAUCUAAUAUAUGUAUGCAUAUAAAACACCAAAUGGAGGUGAAUAAUUCAGACAGCAGUCUCUUCGAAGCAUCCAUGAGAGCCUCUCGUAGUGAUAUGUAUUGAGACAGUUUCAAUAUAUAUUAUUCUUAAACAAAGAUAAGUACUAAAAACCUUCAGAUCUAUCACUAAAAUUCUUCUUAAACUUCUUGAUACUAAUAUUUUUGUUGUUAUGUUGCAGGUACGGUGAUAAGAUUCUAUGUACACACAGAUCGACCUUGGAUCUAAACGUUUUCUUUAAAGUUUUCAUUUUUAGAUCUAAAGUUUUCUGCAAAGGUGUCAAAUCGGACCUUUUGUCAAAGUUUUCUGGCGGUGUUUCCAAACAACUUCAUGGAGUGGCCACUGAUAUAGACACAUUGGAUAUCACCAGGUUCUUACAAAUGGUAUUGAAGUGAAGCUACAAAGGAAUGCUCUUAGUGUGCUUGAAGCACCUACUGGUAAUGAAGAAGAUGAUGACCUCGAAUUUGAUAAUGUGCGAUGGAAUAAUGGAUCAGAUAUGGCAAAGAAGACGAAGAGAAAAUAUGAAGGGUUGAAUUAUAAAUUCUAUUUCUGUUAACUAUGAUGUUUUCUACAUGAUUUAUAAGAGCCACUAGCUACUUCUGUCAUUCAACAAGAUUAACCAAGUUGGAGGACAAAGAACACAAGCGUGUGAUGGAUGGAACUAAAGAGGAGAAAUACAUGGAAAAUUCAUUCAAGAACUUGACCUUGGUGACUGCAAAAUGUUGUUUUCUCCUAUAUUAAAAAAGUGUGUGUACUUGAUCAACUGUUUGCUAAUUUGCUUUGGUAUCGUGUGGUGAAGAAUAAUUAAAGCCAUAUGUUAAUUCUACUAACAACUGAAAGUUGUAUGCUUUGUGGGAUGAUUCUAAGGAUUUAUGCCUAUGUUUCUCUGUUGAUUGCAAAAGGCUUUAUGCCAGUUUUUAGAUUCUAAGGAUUAUAGAGUAUAGUCAUUUGAUGAGUGAUCAACUGGAAUUUUUCUUUUCGAUUGAAGUUAUUUCCUUUUGUUUCUCUAAAGUCAAUUAGUGUAUUAAGUGAAUGAUGUAGGAAACUCAUACUUAUUUGCUAUUGGGAUGCUCUUGAGUUGACUGGGUGCAUGAGUUUGUGGUGACUAGUUUAUUACUUUUCAACAGGAGUGUUAGAGAUUCAAGAAGUUUGUUGUAGUCCUAUAUCAAUUUGGAUUGGUGUGUUCUAGCUUUUUGUUAGUUGAUCUGCUAGAAAUAAAUGCGGCUUUUGAGUUAGUUUCUUUGAUGUAGCUUGCAAUCUGCAACAAUUAGUAGGCAAUGGCAGUUGGUUUUAAGAUUGGAAUAAGGAGUUGUUCUGUGUGAGCAAAGGAUAAGAAAAGGUUAAAAUGUUUUCGGCACAAAGGAAGUCUGGUGGAGAUUGAAUCAUUAAUGAAGAUAAACAGAGGAUCCUUUGUGAGUGUAUAUUUUGCUCUGUAUGUUUUCAGGUUGUUGACACCAGUCAAACCAAAGACCGGAGGGAGUAUAUGUUAUUACUUACAUUUAGUGUGCUUGGAAUAAGUGCUAUAAUCCAUGAGGGCCUCUCUAGCAAGAAAUCAGAUUGAUAACCUUAAGUUUUAAGAGCUUUAGAUCACAUAUCAUUUUCACUUUUGUGAUCGAGUCUUGGUGUAAGGAACAAAUGGGAGGCUCGCAUUGCACACGUGAGGGAGAUCCACAGUGAGGUGGUGGCAGAACCUACAAAUCUACAGUGAUCGAGCUUGAGCUCUUUUCCUCUAUUUCCUUUAUGCUCUUUAUUUAACCGCCUAUUUUGCAUUUUGAAUUAGUUAUUAAAUAGGGAUUUGAAUCAUUGGAGCAACAAAUUAAGUUUCAAUUGGAGAAACUUUAGGCAACACAAAAACCAACAAUCUAAUACAAAUAUAGUGUGCCACUACACUUAUAGGAACUUUUGUGGAUUCAAGGACUCAUUAGUCUAUUGGAAAUUUAUCCAUGUGGUGUUUACACUUUAUUUGUAAAUCAAACAUGUUUCUGUGUCUCUAAAUUUUGCUUUAUUUGAUUUUUUUCAAAGUACAGGAAUGUAACUGUACUUUAACAUGGAGUGUGUGUAAUUGCAUGGGUCUUGCAAUUGUUAAUUGUAUGAGUGUAACUCAAUUUUGCUGUUAAUAUUGGGAUGUUGUUGCAGUGGACUUUUGCCUA